rnacentral:rRNA from 1 species
UACGUAGGGCGCAAGCGUUAUCCGGAAUUAUUGGGCGUAAAGAGCUCGUAGGCGGUUUGUCGCGUCUGCUGUGAAAACCUAAGGCUCAACCUUGGGCUUGCAGUGGGUACGGGCAGACUAGAGUGCGGUAGGGGUGACUGGAAUUCCUGGUGUAGCGGUGGAAUGCGCAGAUAUCAGGAGGAACACCGAUGGCGAAAGGCAGGA